rnacentral:rRNA from 1 species
GUCUAUGGCCAUGCCACCUUGAACAAGCCCGAUCCCGUCUGAUCUCAGAAGCUAAGCAGGGUCAGACCUGGUUAGUACUUGUAUGGGAGACCACCUAGGCAGACCAGGUGCUGUAGGUG